GUGACAUAGCAGCGACUCGUGCUCGAGGCAACGGUCCAUUUCUGUGAUCCUCCGCCUCCGGACCACCCCAUCGCCCACGUACAUCCUCGAUGCACACGUGUGCACCAGUCCAUUUGAAUCUAGCCACUCGAACGCGCGCUGGUACAUUGCCGGCCAAAAGUUCGCGUAUAGGGAGACGACGAUGAUUAUGGUGGUCGUAUACGACGGAGAAAAGGUUAUCGGAUGCGAAGCAAACGGGCGAGGCUUGUUCAGCGGGGAGGAUCCGAAGAACUCGAGCGAUUCGCGGGAUCAAAAUACUGCACGCCCAACGGAGCUUCGCAUUAUUCACAACGCCUCGAUGACGACUAGAUCGAUAGAAAACGGGGGCCGAUUAAUUAAUUCAAUUGUGCCAGAUAACGCGGAUUUUCCUUCUGUCGCUUGAAAUCGCGCGCUCCCCUCUCCGAAUUUGAAUUUUUGGCGCAUAUUUCAAUCUACGGAAUAUAAUCUCGAUUUCUUUCUUUCCUUUCGCCGAUCAUAUAAUUUUCGUCGCAAAUUUAUGGAAAUUUUGAACGUUAAAAGUGCAAUUUUUUGCUAUAGCGAACUCGUUAUUAGAUCCACGAGACGAAGACGUGUUACUCCGGUAAUUUUUGACAGUGAUUCCAUCCAUAAUGAUAAAAAUGUGAAUGAUACAAAUAAUUUCAUAAGGGAAAUGAAAUAAUGCCCUUUCCUUAAAAAAAAAAAAAAAAAAGGAA